UAACCGGAGGGGAGAGAAAGAUUCCGAACGGGCAACCCAAACUGGACCAGGGUGGUCAGACAGGAAUCAUUUUCCGCCUGCCCGAGCUGACUCAUGGCUGUUGAGCUGCACUCUUCCAAAUGGGCAAUGUCUGGCCACCAUUCUUCUGAGUGUGCUGAGAAAGCGAGGGUCUUCCUGACUGACCACCCAGUAAAAUCUGUGGAGCUUGAAGAAAGUGCUUCCAUUUUGGCUAUUCACAGGUACGAAGCAAGAAACAGGAGAGAGAGAGAGCGCACACAAGCAGUG